rnacentral:rRNA from 1 species
AGUGAACGCUGGCGGUAGGCCUAGCACAUGCAAGUCGAACGGCAGCACAGUAAGAGCUUGCUCUUACGGGUGGCGAGUGGCGGACGGGUGAGGAAUACAUCGGAAUCUACUUUUUCGUGGGGGAUAACGUGGGGAAACUUACGCUAAUACCGCAUACGACCUACGGGUGAAAGCAGGGGAUCUUCGGACCUUGCGCGAUUGAAUGAGCCGAUGUCGGAUUAGCUAGUUGGCGGGGUAAAGGCCCACCAAGGCGACGAUCCGUAGCUGGUCUGAGAGGAUGAUCAGCCACACUGGAACUGAGACACGGUCCAGACUCCUACGGGAGGCAGCAGUGGGGAAUAUUGGACAAUGGGCGCAAGCCUGAUCCAGCCAUACCGCGUGGGUGAAGAAGGCCUUCGGGUUGUAAAGCCCUUUUGUUGGGAAAGAAAAGCAGCAGGUUAAUACCCCGCUGUUCUGACGGUACCCAAAGAAUAAGCACCGGCUAACUUCGUG